CCUAGCGCGUGCCUAAGCUCUUGACUGUCUGGAUUGUGCUGUGGGGGCUUCCGUAGACCGUUUUCCUCGGUUAGGAUUUAACAUGGCGGCUCCCUUUCCGGAGAUCGCAGAUGUGACCUGGUGAUGGCAAAAUCGAGUACUGGCCAGCCGAUGGGCCUGUAAGGAGAAGAGAGUGGACUCGGAAUUAGCUGUCCAGACCUGCCAGAUGAGGCCAGCAAAUUUCCUCAGAUAUUACAGGGCUUCUGUUUGGAAACCAGCCUGUUAAAUCCUGCUGUGAUGCCAAGAGGUAGCCCAGCAACUCAUACCUUGCCUUACUCUGAACAACUUACUUGUGUGACCAUCUCUGACGCCUUAUGCCGAAGCUGAUCUGGCUCAGCACCAAAGUUCUGGCACCACGACAGUGCUUGUUAACUGGCAGUGCCAAAAAGGUCUCCUCGCUUUCAUUGUCUGUGAAACGUUACUUCUUUUCUGGGCAGUGGUUAAUUUGUUGAAAAUCUCUGGAAGAGUUUCCACAGUUGGGGUGGGGGGAAAGCGCUCUAUAGAAAUAUGAACUGCUCUAAGGUGCAUUCCAAGACACUUCUAAGCUCUAGUUUCAUGGAAACCUCGGGCUCCUGUGUUGCUUUAUUAGCACGGGUUUUAUCCACAAGGUGGCAUCACAGAACCUGAAUUUCAUUCACCGAAGGUUAAAAGACAAUCCACAUUUCUUUGUGAUUGGAAACUAAAGUAUGUAGUUUUAAGAGGCCAUGUUUAAAAACUCUGUGUUUAUCCCUGUAAUUGGGAAAAUUACUUUAAAGCUGUGAAAGAUGGGGGUCGUGAUAGCUUCCUACUCAGUGAAAACCUGAAGCCUGAGAUACUUAGAAAAACCUGCCCUAAGCCCAUGUUCCUUCCCCAGGUAACACGAUGAUGAUCAAAACUGCCUGUUUCCUAGUCAAGACAAUAGUGAAACUUAAGGAUAACCGUGAGGCCUUCCUCCCCUUCCACACACACUUGUUCCCACUGCCCAUCAACGUCAUCUUGGCUGACUUCAUUUGAGGCAGGGGUCAAGAAAACCUAAAUGGAUGGUUUAAGAGGUCAAUCUGCUGUGUAGUGGCACUUCAAAAUAAGUCACAAGGUUGAAGAUGUCAAAAAGUUGACUCUCCAGUUGGUGCCAGUCUCACAGAUCAGGGCUCUCAUGGAAAGAGAAGGUAAUCCUCUUCUGAAUUUGAGAUGGAAUCUAGCUUGCUGGUUCUUUCCCAGGAAUUCAUUCCCAGGCCAGCCAUGUCACUUAGGCUCAUGAGACAGUACCUAGUGAAUGUCUACUCACUCGUGGGAAUGUGAAUGUUCUAGAAAUUCUUGGUGUGAUGUAUUCCUUUGGAUACAUACCACAAGUGGGAUUGCUGGACUAGAUGGUAGUUCUGUUUUGCAUUUUUUGAGGGGCUUUUAUACUGUUUCCCAUAGUAGCUGUACCAAAUUAAUCUUGAACUAGAUGAGUUUCAUGAGUGGUUCUCAGGCCACUUUUGAUUGUCGGUUCUUUUCAGGAGAAGUGCUGUAGAGAUUAGAGGCUCAAAGUGGGAAGGAGUUCCCUGAUCAGGAAAGAUGGAAUGACUGACUAAAAAUAGACCUUCAUUAGGGUGCCUAAAUCCCAGAGUUGGGGAAGGGGCUGGGAAGAGUGACCCUCUGUAGAGCUGCUGUGAGAGCACAAGGAGAAAGCUUGAUGGGAGGACAUAGGCCCUCAACGUGAAAGGUGCAUUGGACUUUCUGUGGUCAAAAGUGUCUCCUACCUAUUUCUCAAUCCCUGGUACUGCCUGGGAUCAUUGUAGCAAGGGGACUGAAAAUAAUAGUGCACAUCGCUGAGUAUGACAUGACAGUGGAUUCCUUUCUGGCAAUGGUGAGACUUUCAUGAUGAAGGCUUUACCCUAUGUGACAGCAUUCCUCAGAAUUCUGGACUUCACUGUUAGGGAUGUUCUUGUGUUCCUGCUUCAGUCUGUGCACUGCCUUAGGCUGUGAAAAGCAUCUCAGGAAAGGUGACCUUUCCCCCUCCUAUACUGUGGCCUAAAGUAGUAGUCUGAGAGGAUCUCCUGGGAGGCGCCCGCUGAUGUUGACUACAGUUGGUUGAGUAGACCACUCAGAUCAUCUGUUGAGACUACCUGUGGCCAUAAAGAGGCACAUGAAUGUGAACUGGUGUUGCUGGUGUAUUCUACUGAUAUACCAACUAGACACUUCUUCCUUUGACACUCACACGCCUCAGGUGCCUUGCUAAAGUCCUAAAAGGUGCAUAUUGGCAAUGGCAGCAUGUGGGGUAUGGGAAAUGUUGAGUCUGGGGCAGAAGUUGGCGGUAGCCUGAUGUCAGAAUUCUGUGCCAUUGUGCCAAGCGAGGGCACACUGGGAAUCCUGAGGAGUCCCAACUCUGUUUGUCAGAAUGUGGUUGGAACUUUGCACAUUCACUUUCUGCACUCUUCCACUGAGCACACUCUGCACAUUGGCUGGAAGGCAGACAUCCGAUGGGUCUAGUCAGUGAACUGUCCAUGAAUCCGGGGCCUUUUGCUUCCUUUGGGGCAUAUGCCAAUGAGCGUGGAUGUGUAGGAAUCUCCCGAGUCAGGUGCCCCAGCUGGAGGAUGAAGCCCUUGUAUUCCUCUUGCUGGAGAGGGCUGCAUCCCCAGGCUGUAGCUGUCUCUACCACCCGUGUGUCUGCUAGAAAGCCUUUCUAGCAGAAAGGCUGGCUGGUGGUUGCUCCUCUUCCAUUUGGGGUUUCCUGUUGGUGGCGGUGACAUUGCCUCAGGGGAACCUUCUCUGCACUCUCAAGGAAGAAGGUGUUGUUGGUCAACAGUGGAGGGACAGUUAUGCAUUGUUUGUGGUGUUGUGCUACUGGAGUGGGGGAGAGGAAAGGGGAACUCAAUUGGGGGAGGGACAAGGCCUGAUGGUUUCCCCAUGUCAGGCUUUUGCUUUCUCUUGAUUCGGGAAAUUUGGGCCCAGCAGGGCUAUGAGGAGGCGGCUCUGAGAGUAUAAGGAAAGAUUGCCAGUGGGGAGGACAAGGGUCUUUGGUGUGAUGACUGUGGUGGGCAUUGUGGGUUCAGGGCUCUUUCCCCUGUCUUCUUUCUCCAUUCUCAUGCCCUUCCUAUGGGUUAGCAUAGCUGAGGCACAAAAAUUAACAAUGGACCCUGAUGGAUAUACUAUAAGAAGUUACAGCUUUGGUAUAAACUAGGACAUUUAUUAUGGGAACAGGAUUGUUUUCGAUUUUCCCAAGUGAAUUGUGAUUUUGUCAGCAAGUGAAGGCUUUGCUGUCUCUUUCUUGCUCUGUGUUGCCUAGACCUGUGACAAAUGGCUGUUGUGGAAGGGGAACUCUUUGUCCAGCUGUACUGUUGCACAGUAUAUAAUCUAAGGGAGUUCUGAGAAGGGACUGCUGUUGUUUACACUAUUUUUUUUUUCCCGGUGAUAUUUUCUGUCCUUUUCCUGUAGCUUUAUGGGCUCUUUGUCACUGCUUUUUCUGCCAGGUCCCUGAAAGAACACUCAUGGUUUUUCAAAUUCCCAAGAGGCUUAUUUAACUUACAGAAAAGAUUUCCAUACAUGCAGAGAGUCAGAAAUGGCAGCCUAUUGCCUGGAGAAUCCCAGGGACAGCAGAGCCUGGUGGGCUACCGUCUCUGGGGUCACACAGAGUCAGGCACGACUGAAGUGAUUUCGCAGAGUCAGACAAAGAACUGACCACACUACAGUUUUUGAGGAAAUGUGAGAAAGAAGUCCUCGUCCCUUUUCAGCAUGAGCAAUUUAAUUUUCCUCAUUUGAGUGUCCCUUACAAUGUGCUCCCCGUGAGAUCCCAGGUCCCCUGGGGAUCUUCACCAUCUCUCCAAGUGCUGAUUCUAAAGUUCUGGCCACAGCCAGACCUGGGCAGAGGAAUUCCUCAAGAGGAACUUGUGGAAACAGCACCUGAAGGACAAGUAAAAAGGAUGAGUGACUGCUUGUCCUCUAGGAGCUUUUAAACCAUACAUAUGUCCUCAGGGCGAAUUCUGUGUGAUCAAUAAGAUCACUGGGGAUGAGGAUGAAAAGUACAAACCUUCUUUAGAGAAGGUUUAAGUCACUCUGCUGACAUCAGCAGUCUGUUGGCAAGCGGAGCUGAGCUUCUCUCUCACUGUCCCUUUCUCAAGUACUCUGAAGGAGCAGAGAUUUGAUCUCCAAUUGGCAGAGGUCCGAUUUUUGUGUCUUGUGGUGCACAGGACCUGCUAGAAUACUUGGCAGGAGGCAAGGACUCAGAUCCGCCAGAGAUUUACCUAUGGAAUUUUAGUGUGCGGCUCUGUCAAAAAGAGUGGUCAGAAUGAGUCAAAUUUGUGCAUUCCUGGACAGUUUGAAUGGUCUCCUCAUCCCGAUGCAUUUGAAUUUUCCCUCCCAGUCCACUAUGCUGACUCCAGCAUGCACCCAUAAUGGGUUACUGAGUGUCACCACCGAGGGACCUCACAGUUUUGAUUUGGGUUGGCUUUCUGAGCUUCCUUUGCUUCUCCUUAUUCACGUGCAAGCCUACUAUAUUACCUCUUAUCAGCUUUGGAAAAGAGCAGCAGUGGACCCACUUCAGUGAAUCCUAAGGAGAUUCACUGGUUUACCCAUCCUCCCCCAUCAGUCAGACAAAGCACCUUCCAGAAUGCUGAAAGGCCUGUUUUAGAUUUUCCUCUAGUAGGUUGUCAGAAUACUGAGCUACAGGAUAUAGGAUAUAGUUAAAGCCAGGAACCAAGCACCUGUGCAUCUCCUCCAGACCCCGGAACUGAUGUGUCCUGAAAAGGCUAAGAGAGUGGAUCUUGAUUUGUCAUGUUUUUAUUACUAAAUACUACUAAUAAUAAAUUAUGAAGGUAGGAUGAAACUUCAGAGUGGAUGGGUGUGUUUAUGGUAUAGAUUAUGGAGAUGCUUUACAGAUGUAUACUUAUCUCCAGACUCAUUCGAUUGUAUACAUUAAGAUGUGUACAUCUUUUUGUAUGUCAGUCAUUGCUCAUACCUCAAUAAAGGGGUUUAAAAAAUAAUAAAAAAGAACCUUCCAUGGUCACAAAUGAGUGUCACCUCCCUCCAAGAGUUUUUAUAGUUUAGAACUGAGAGGGAAGAAUAUUUCUCCUUCGGGAAAUGGUUAAUGCCAUUUACAGCUUCUGAAUUAUGGUUUUGCCUUGGUUUCUCUAUAUAUACAUAGUAUCUGCAUUAGUCGUCUAUAAGGUUAACCUUUAGUCCAUAGGAUUUUGAAUUUCAUAGAAUCUCAGCAGUUCUACAGAAGUCUACGGCCUCAUGCGGAGGACCUUGUCUCAAGGAGUGGCCCUGUGACAUCAGCGAGUUGUCAUUUGACCAGAAAUUGACUUUGGGGUAUUGUGCCUUUGGGAAUGGCUUGGACUUUAGGUUGUUUUCAUUUUGUAUAAUAUGUGCUUUUGUGCUUCCUCAAGAAAUCUUUAAAAAUAUUGUACCCAUGGGGGCAUGUCAAAGUGCGUGUGUGCUGUUUUUGUAUUCCAGAUGCUUGAAGGCACUGUUUCAGGCUGAUUGGUCUCUCUAGCAGGCCUCAUUUCUCUGAGACCUUCCCGCAGCCUUCUCUUUUCUGUGCCACUGAGUUUCCUGGCCGUAGCUACUUGGUUUGGAAUACUUUUCAUCUUAUCCUAGUUGAGCCAGUAAUACUUUUGUUAUGGUUUGGGACUAGACCCGCAAGAAUGAGUGAGAGCCUGCAAAGGUUCACUGGUAACCUUUCACAGCAGAGAAUAUAAAAAGACAUACUGUUGGGACUUGCCCAGCAGUCCAGUGGUUAAGACUCCAUGCUUCCAAUAUAGGGGGGAGGGGGUUCAGCCCCUGGUGGGGGAAAUAAAAUCCCACAUGCUGCAUGGCAUGGCGAGAAAACAAAACAAAAAAAGAGGCCAUGCAGCUGAGUUUCCCUGAUUUAGCCUCAUUUCUGUGUCUUUAAAAUGUAUUUGUUGCUUAAGUUUCUCGUAUUUUGUUAAAUACCAGUGUUGUUCCAAUAAAAUUCAUUUGCUUUAGAA